UAGACAGAUGCUCUGGAGAUGGAUGCUGA
rnacentral:piRNA from 1 species